rnacentral:rRNA from 1 species
GAUGAACGCUGGCGGCGUGCCUAAUACAUGCAAGUCGAGCGAACAGACGAGGAGCUUGCUCCUCUGACGUUAGCGGCGGACGGGUGAGUAACACGUGGAUAACCUACCUAUAAGACUGGGAUAACUUCGGGAAACCGGAGCUAAUACCGGAUAAUAUAUUGAACCGCAUGGUUCAAUAGUGAAAGACGGUUUUGCUGUCACUUAUAGAUGGAUCCGCGCCGCAUUAGCUAGUUGGUAAGGUAACGGCUUACCAAGGCAACGAUGCGUAGCCGACCUGAGAGGGUGUAGGGCCACACUGGAACUGAGACGCGGCACAGACUCCUACGGGAGGCAGCAGUAGGGAAUCUUCCGAGAUGGGGGGAAGCCUGACGGAGCAACGCCGCGUGGGUGAUGAAGGUCUUCGGAUCGGAAAACUCUGUUAUUGGGGAAGAACAAAUGUGUAAGUAGCUAUGCACGUCUUGACGGUACCUAAUCAGAAAGCCCCGGCUAACUACGUG